rnacentral:rRNA from 1 species
UACGGGAGGCAGCGGGGGGGAAUAUUGCACAAUGGGCGAAAGCCUGAUGCAGCUAUGCCGCGUGUAUGAAGAAGGCCUUAGGGUUGUAAAGUACUUUCAUCGGGGAGGAAAAAACAAAACUAAUAAUUUUAUUUCUUGACGUUACCCGAAAAAGAAGCACCGGCUAACUCCGUGCCAGCAGCCGCGGUAAUACGGAGGGUGCUAGCGUUAAUCAGAAUUACUGGGCGUAAAAGAGCACGUAGGUGGUUUUUUUAAAGUCAGAUGUGAAAUCCCUGGGCUUAACCUAGGAACUGCAUUUUGAAAACUGAAAUACUAGAGUAUCGUAGAGGGAGGUAGAAUUCUAGGUGUAGCGGUGAAAUGCGUAGAUAUCUGGAGGAAUACCUGUGGCGAAAGCGGCCUCCUAAACGAAUACUGACACUGAGGUGCGAAAGCGUGGGGAGCAAACAGGGAUUAGAUACC